GUGGUGGUUCAGUGGUAGAAUUCUCACCUUCCACGUGGAAGAGAGACCCAGGUUCGAUUCCUGGCCAGCACA
rnacentral:tRNA from 1 species